GUGAGGAAUAUUGGUCAAUGGGCGAGAGCCUGAACCAGCCAAGUCGCGUGAAGGAAGAAGGAUCUAUGGUUCGUAAACUUCUUUUGCAGGGGAAUAAAGUGCGGGACGUGUCCUGUUUUGUAUGUACCCUGAGAAUAAGGAUCGGCUAACUCCGUGCCAGCAGCCGCGGUAAUACGGAGGAUCCGAGCGUUAUCCGGAUUUAUUGGGUUGAAAGGGUGCGUAGGUGGUUUGAUAAGUCAGCGGUGAAAGUUUGCAGCUUAACUGUAAAAAUGCCGUUGAAACUGUCGGACUUGAGUGUAAAUGAGGUAGGCGGAAUGCGUGGUGUAGCGGUGAAAUGCAUAGAUAUCACGCAGAACUCCGAUUGCGAAGGCAGCUUACUAAGCUACAACUGACACUGAAGCACGAAAGCGUGGGGAUCAAACAGGAUUAGAAACCCUUGUAGUCC
rnacentral:rRNA from 1 species